UACAGAGGUCUCAAGCGUUUGUUCGGAUUCAUUGGGGCGUAAAGGGUGCGUAGGCGGCGCGGUAAGUCGGGGUGUGAAAUCUCGGGCUUAACUCCGAAACUGCAUUCGAUACUGCCGUGCUUUGAGGACUGGAGAGGAGACGUGGAAAUUUACGGUGUAGCGGUGAAAUGCGUAGAUAUCGUAAGGAAGACCAGUGGCGAAGGCGGGUCUCUGGACAGUUCCUGACGGCUG
rnacentral:rRNA from 1 species